GACGCAGGUGAUGUUGGCGUGAAAUCGCCGCCAUGUUGUCGCCAAACAGAGAAGAAACUCUGCGCUGAGGCGUUAAGAAAGUUCUGUCAACAUUAAUUAUCACCGUAGCAACAAGCACACCGGGACAUACCGGGACAUGGAUAUGAACCCGUUCACCUCCAGCAAGGACAGACAACUGAGCUUCAUCAUCAAAUAACAGCAGCGAUGAUUGCAAAGUACUGAAUCACCCUUUUGGUGUUGACGGUUUUUCCUGCACCGGACUCACCACUGACAGGAAGAAACAACACACACAGGUGGAUUUCACUAAGAAGCUCAAUGAGCGAACAGCUGCUGCUACAGCCUGCGACGAUGAACAGCUGGACGUUAUCGAUCCAAUCGGAAGGUAUUUCUUCCUCUGGAGCUGUAGAGUCUGAUCUGUGAUGACAAGUCUCCUGCUGCUCCUACAACUCCACUCAACACCUGCUGCUAGAAUUAGAAAUUACUUACACUGCUAUUAGUUGUAUUGUUAGCAGUUAAUACUUUAAUUAUCACUACUAUCAUUACUACUGCUGUAUUACUGGCCUCACCUUACAUCUGAUAUGGAACCUGUGUUAUGCUAUGUUCUUCUUUCGCUAUUCUCUACCCCCUCUCCCCCCUCUCCCCCUCUCUCUCUCCUUCUUAACCCAACCGGUCGAGGCAGAUGGUUCUGCUCGAGGUUUCUGCCUCUUAAAAGGAAGUUUUUCCUUGCCACUGUCGCCUAGUGCUGCUCAUGGUGGGAUUUGUUGGGUCUCUCUCUGUAAAUACCUAUUUUACGGAGUACGGUCUAGACCUGCUCUAUAUGAAAAGUGCCUUGAGAUGACUUUUGUUGUGAUAUGGCGGUAUAUAAAUAAAACUGAAUUGAAUUGA